rnacentral:lncRNA from 1 species
AAAAAAUAACCUGCAAGACUUGAUAUCAUCUUUGCAAAAGUGCAAUAGAUUCAAGAGGAAUGUACAAUUUUGUAUAAAAAAUAUUAAACUUUCAGAUCUGACAUUAUUUACAAGGCAGUGAAUAGAAAUAUGAUGAGAGUCCAUUUAAUCACAGAUACAAGCUUCUCAGAUUCCUGAUAAAGUCUUUGGUAUAAAGGUUUCUUUAACCAUGCUUUCAUAUUCUGAACAGUAGAAACCUGUUUAGUUAUAUAGUUUUCAAAUUCCCUAAAAUAACCGAUGAAAUUAACAAAUAUUGGAACACAUUUGUCUAAAAUUAUCAAACAAAAGUUACUUAUAAAUUUUUUAGCUUUCACUCUAGGAUUCAAUACUUCCUUAUUGAGCAUAUUGAAAACAAUAAAGAAAUGUGUAUUCGUUGUCAAAUAUCACUGAUCUCUCUUCUUAUCCAUUGUUAAUUCAUUAUUGUGUUGUAAGUGAUUACUGGUGUCUCUACUUCAUUGGUACUUAAGAUUUGUUCCAAUCAUCAAUGUUUCCU